UACAGAGGUCCCAAGCGUUGUUCGGAUUCAUUGGGCGUAAAGGGUGCGUAGGCGGCAGGGUAAGUUGGAUGUGAAAUCCUGGGGCUUAACCUCAGAAUUGCAUUCAAUACUGCCUUGCUAGAGAGCUGUAGAGGAGACUGGAAUUUACGGUGUAGCAGUGAAAUGCGUAGAUAUCGUAAGGAACGCCAGUGGCGAAAGCGAGUCUCUGGGCAGCAUCUGACGCUGAGGCACGAAGGCCAGGGGAGCAAACAGG
rnacentral:rRNA from 1 species